rnacentral:rRNA from 1 species
GACAGAGGGUGCAAACGUUGUUCGGAAUUACUGGGCGUAAAGCGUGUGUAGGCGGUUUCGCAAGUCGGAUGUGAAAGCCCCGGGCUCAACCCGGGAAGUGCACUCGAUACUGCGGAACUCGAGUGUGGGAGAGGUUGGUGGAAUUCUCGGUGUAGAGGUGAAAUUCGUAGAUAUCGAGAGGAACACCGGCGGCGAAGGCGGCCAACUGGACCACGACUGACGCUGAGACACGAAAGCGUGGGGAGCAAACAGG